UUCUGCCCGAGGCUCAAAUUACACAGUGGCGGCUUGGGGUGGGAACAGUGAGCCCCGGAGUCGGAAGAGCAGCCCCAACAGCCUGGUCGCUGAAGCUGAGUGAGCGGCCAUCGCAUCCCCUCAGCCACUCCAGGAUGGGCAGCAGCAGUGGACUGAGCUUCCCAGGAGAGGCUCCUGGCCCCGAACCUGCGGGGUUGUGGCCGUACACUUCAUCAGCUUCCAGCGCAUGAAGUGGCCCAAAGCAGGCAGCAGACUUGGUGUCCCCCGCAAAAGUGACAACUUCAUCUAGAGGCUGUUGCACAGAAACUCUCCAACCAGGAGGCAGAGACCAGCAGCUGCCCUCUCGGUUCCCAGGACGUGCACUAGAAAUUUCCAGUCCUAAGGGGGCUGCAGCGUUACCCAUCUUCCAACUGAUGACCAAAAAGUGGGCUUGAGAAAACUUUUUACUGUUUAAGAGACUGAACAGGAGGGGGUGCCUUCGUUUUGGAUGCUAUUUUUGAGAAGCUGGUCAAAGAAGGGGAAAAUAGAAUUGGUGCUGAAGCCCCCGCCAGGUGGAAGAAUCAAUUGCAUGCUGUCCAGGAGCAGGUAGACCCCAGAUUGGUUGGAACCAGAAGGUUGAUGACACUGACUCCCAAUUACCACCAACCAGUCCGCAGAAUAUCCCCAAGCUGACCAAGCCCUGCUCCUUGAACCCUCUCCUGGAACCGAGAUCAACGUUGGCAGUCCCUUUCCAGGACCGCCCUGGCACUCCAGCGGAGCCAGAAAGAACCUCCUCCAGCCCUAGGGCAGUGAAUCUUGGCUGCCAGCGAUAGCUUCUUCAGGGCGGAUGACAUUCCUCAUGAGGCCUGAAGAUGUCGCCAGAGGAUCAGCCUGAGGAACGGGGAGGCGGGGAAAAUCGGAGCUGCGUGAGGAUUGACAGUCAUUGUGGCCAAUGGUAGCCUGUUGUGGUCCCCCCCCCCUUCCGUGUUCUGACCCCAAGAGCUUCCCACCCCUUUAGUGGGUGCAAUCGUGACAGGGAAUGGAGAGGUCGGGGUGGUAGAUACUGUGUCGUGUGCUCCCUGAGGGUAUCCCUGUUAGUUCAAGGUUGCAAUAGCUCAUGUUGACUACUCCUCUUCACCUCCCCCACCCCCUUCGCCCCCAACGUAUCUUCCUCCCAGUUAACUAAGGCUCACCUCACCUGUUUUUGGCAAACUUAUUUCUCCAUCACUCUGGGUCCUCGCAGUUUUGGUGAAAGGCAGUCUGGGGGCAAAGCAGGCGCACUACUACCAGUCCUUGUUUUAGAGACUAUUUGCAGCACUGACAUUGUGGGGCAGGCUGUCCGGCGGUUAGGAUGAAGAGAUGAGAGUGAAAGAUAACAGGUGGGAAGCAUCCACUAAAUGCAUAGUGUUUCACCAUUUCCAUCGGAGUGUCUCAUUACAUCAUCUUUUUAUUUAAUCCAUUUCCUGUUUUACAGAUUAGGAAACAAAAUGAAUAAAUUGCCGGUGGCAGUCCUUGGAUGAUUUUAACUCGUCAGACGCCAAUGCCCGAGGUCUUUUAUUGUGCCAAGGCUGCUUUUGCAGUAUUUCAAUGCUCACGGACCCCGUGAAUCACUUCUUCCUACACUGAUUCAUCCUUCCGAUCGUCUCUUCAUUUAUUCAUUUCUUAGGGGCCCUUCCCCCUGGAGACAGAGGCCUAGUUGCUUUUAAAAAUAUCCCCCUCACUACCACCAAAAAUAGCACUCUGGGGAGUGCUGUUGUGGCUCAGCGGUCCCACUUUGUCCCUGCAGCAGCUCAAGUCGCUGCUGUGUGGCAUGUUUGAUCUCUGCACCUGGGAACUUCCACACGACAAGGACACGGUCAGGAUAUGCACACACAGAUUAUCGAUACCUAUUUUGUUUCAGAUGAUAGGAUGGUGUCUGAAGAUACAGACUCUUGCCUUUCCAGAGGCCAUAGGCAGUAACUUUUGACCUUUUAAUGUCCCAUCCCUAUAAUUUUUAUUUUUUAAAUUUUUUU